rfam:Lupinus angustifolius cultivar Tanjil chromosome LG07, whole genome shotgun sequence.
GCCGAGCUGAGUAGCGUUAGCUUGUGACCCAAGUGGGGGCAACAAUUUGAUGGGACAAGUGCAUGGUUUCGUUGGGUUGGGCUUAUAGUUUCAAUAUGUGGCCUGCCUACUCCAAGUUUAGAGUUGAAUUAUGGGUCUUGGGCUAAAGCUCAGAUCUCAUGAUUCCUAGACUGGAGGGCAAUGCGUGAGGCUGGUUUCACAGAGCAGCGAAUACCUCCGGCUCUUAACAGUGGAGAGAUAACGGGCUGCUGAUUCUAAAGCCCAUAAUGGCCUGGUGAGCCUGUUGCUUGAACCAUCAUUUUU